UUACUCUCUUCUGUGAUUUUCUGCCCAGUAACCAGUAAAUGUAAUUCCCUCUUGGUUGGUUAUCUUUAUCCAAUAUUCGGUAUUGAUAUUCCUUCACCUUUUGAGUAUAUCUCCCAGUAACCGGCUAUAUAUCUCUCGGAUAAUUGCUCUGAUAAAGCAAUUUAUCCCCAGCGAGUCAUCUUUCAUUUACCCUUUUGUUGGUAAUGAUCGUUUCUCCCCUUUGACUGGUCAUCAUUUUAUACCCAGUAACCGGUAUCCCGGUGUCC
rnacentral:lncRNA from 1 species